AGCGAACGCUGGCGGCAGGCUUAACACAUGCAAGUCGAACGGUCCUUCGGGAUAGUGGCGGACGGGUGAGUAACGCGUGGGAACGUACCCUUAGGUUCGGAACAACACAGGGAAACUUGUGCUAAUACCGGAUGAGCCCUUCGGGGGAAAGAUUUAUCGCCUUUGGAGCGGCCCGCGUCUGAUUAGCUUGUUGGUGAGGUAAUGGCUCACCAAGGCUACGAUCAGUAGCUGGUCUGAGAGGAUGGCCAGCCACACUGGGACUGAGACACGGCCCAGACUCCUACGGGAGGCAGCAGUGGGGAAUCUUGCGCAAUGGGCGAAAGCCUGACGCUGCCAUGCCGCGUGGAUGAUGAAGGUCUUAGGAUUGUAAAAUCCUUUCACCGGGGACGAUAAUGACGGUACCCGGAGAAGAAGCCCCGGCUAACUUCGUGCCAGCCGCCGCAGUAA
rnacentral:rRNA from 1 species